GCUCUAGUGGCGCAGAGGUUAGCGCAUCGGUUAGUUACGCGACGGUCGUGGGUUCAAUCCCCACCUAGAGCA